UACGAGGGGGGCAAGCGUUGUUCGGAAUUAUUGGGCGUAAAGGGUGCGUAGGCGGUCGGGUAAGUCUGAUGUGAAAUCUCACAGCUUAACUGUGAAACUGCAUUGGAUACUAUCCGGCUCGAGGAAUGGAGGGGAGACUGGAAUACUUGGUGUAGCAGUGAAAUGCGUAGAUAUCAAGUGGAACACCAGUGGCGAAGGCGAGUCUCUGGACAUUUCCUGACGCUGAGGCACGAAAGCCAGGGGAGCAAACGGG
rnacentral:rRNA from 1 species